CGCUUAUCAAGAAAGGAGGAGGGAAAUGGCCCGACGAUACCUUAGCAACCUUCAUCAUGGCACUGAUGAAAGGUGCUGCAUCCAUCCCGGCGAAGCCGGGAAAGAUAAGUA
rnacentral:ncRNA from 2 species